rnacentral:tRNA from 1 species
ACUUCUAUAGGAAAACAGCCAUCCAUUGGUUUUAGGUACCAAAAAUCUUGGUGCAACUCCAAGUAAAAGUA